UACGUAGGGGGCGAGCGUUAUCCGGAUUCAUUGGGCGUAAAGCGCGCGUAGGCGGCCGCCUAAGCGGAACCUCUAACCCCGGGGCUCAACCUCGGGCCGGGUUCCGGACUGGGCGGCUCGAGUGCGGUAGAGGAGAGCGGAAUUCCCGGUGUAGCGGUGGAAUGCGCAGAUAUCGGGAAGAACACCGAUGGCGAAGGCAGCUCUCUGGGCCGUCACUGACGCUGAGGCGCGAGAGCGUGGGGAGCAAAUAGG
rnacentral:rRNA from 1 species